AUUGAACGCUGGCGGCAGGCUUAACACAUGCAAGUCGAGCGGGCGAGGUUGCUUCGGUAACUGAGCUAGCGGCGGACGGGUGAGUAAUGCUUAGGAAUCUGCCCAUUAGUGGGGGACAACAUUCCGAAAGGAAUGCUAAUACCGCAUACGUCCUACGGGAGAAAGCAGGGGCUCUUUAUGACCUUGCGCUAAUAGAUGAGCCUAGGUCGGAUUAGCUAGUGGGUGGGGUAAAGGCUUACCAAGGCGACGAUCUGUAGCGGGUCUGAGAGGAUGAUCCGCCACACUGAGACUGAGACACGGCCCAGACUCCUACGGGAGGCAGCAGUGGGGAAUAUUGGACAAUGGGGGGAACCCUGAUCCAGCCAUGCCGCGUGUGUGAAGAAGGCCUUUUGGUUGUAAAGCACUUUAAGUGGGGAGGAGGCUUACCUGGUUAAUACCCGGGCUAAGUGGACGUUACCCACAGAAUAAGCACCGGCUAACUCUGUGCCAGCCGCCGCGGUAAGAC
rnacentral:rRNA from 1 species